rnacentral:rRNA from 1 species
UCGAACAGACCUAAAUUUUUCAGCUCCUACACCAAAAUUUUAUUUUAAUCCAACAUCGARGUCGCAAUCCCUUUUUUCGAUUUGAACUCUUUAAAAAAAUUACGCUGUUAUCCCUAARGUAAUUUAUUCUUAUAAUCUCUAUUUAARGAUCAUAUACUCAUAAAUAAAUGUUUAAAUAUAAAAAAAGUUUAAUAAAUUUUUCAAUCACCCCAACCAAAUUAAUUUUCAUAUAAAAAAUAAUUAAUACUAAAAUUUCCCAUAUAAAUUUUAAUAAAACUCUAUAGGGUCUUCUCGUCUUUUAUCACAAUUUAAGCUUUCUUACUUAAAAAUAAAAUUCUAAUAAAUUUAAAUAGAGACAGUCAUUUUUCCAUCAAACCUUUCAUUCCAGCUUUCAAUUAAAAAACUAAUUAUUAUGCUACCUUUGCACGGUCAGGUUACCGCGGCCAUUUAAAAUUCAUAGGGCAGGUCAGACCUUAAAUUAUAUUCAAAAG